rnacentral:hammerhead_ribozyme from 1 species
AUCCACUUGAUGAGUCCCACAUAGGACGGAAAGCGUAUCCUGGAU